UACAGAGGGGGCAAGCGUUGUUCGGAAUUACUGGGCGUAAAGGGCGCGUAGGCGGCCUGCUAAGUCGAACGUGAAAUCCCUGGGCUCAACCCAGGAACUGCGUCCGAUACUGGUUGGCUUGAAUCCGGGAGAGGGAUGUGGAAUUCCAGGUGUAGCGGUGAAAUGCGUAGAUAUCUGGAGGAACACCGGUGGCGAAGGCGACAUCCUGGACCGGCAUUGACGCUGAGGCGCGAAAGCCAGGGGAGCAAACGGGAUUAGAAACC
rnacentral:rRNA from 1 species